ACAGCUGUGGCGCAGCGGUAGCGCGUCUGAUUCCAGUUAAUUCAUGGAGUUUCCAGAAGGUCAUCCGUUCAAAUCGGGUAUGUUGAA